GGACGAACGCUGGCGGCGGCGCCUAACACAUGCAAGUCGAACGGAGCUGUUUCGUCUGAAGUUUUCGGAUGGAAGAGAGUUCAGCUUAGUGGCGAACGGGUGAGUAACACGUGAGCAACCUGCCUUUCAGUGGGGGACAACAUUUGGAAACGAAUGCUAAUACCGCAUAAGACCACAGUGUCGCAUGGCACAGGGGUCAAAGGAUUUAUCCGCUGAAAGAUGGGCUCGCGUCCGAUUAGCUAGAUGGUGAGGUAACGGCCCACCAUGGCGACGAUCGGUAGCCGGACUGAGAGGUUGAACGGCCACAUUGGGACUGAGACACGGCCCAG
rnacentral:rRNA from 1 species